GUAUGUGUACGAGUUUGAUCACUCAUCAGAAGCUUAGCCAAUCCAAAGUCCGAGAUCCUUGCAGUAAAUGAAUCAUCCAGGAGAAUGUUUUGGGGUUUAAUGUCGCAAUGGAUUAUCUGUGUGCUGCAUUCCUCAUGCAAGUAUGUGAGUCCCCUUGCAAUCCCAAACGCCAUUUGCAAUCGUUUGUUCCAGUCAGAUCUUGACAUUCCAAAAAGUAAGCUAGCCAAGGUGCCAUUGCUCAUGAAUUCAUACACCAAAAGCUUGUUGGAGCCUUCAUCGCAAAAUCCAAUCAAUCUGACCAAAUUCUUGUGAUGGGUUUUGGCUAUUGCGCUUACUUCUGUUUUGAACUCCUUCUCGCCUUCUUGCACCAUCCUGUCUAGCUUCUUGACUGCA
rnacentral:misc_RNA from 1 species